AGAUAGGUACUGAGAAUGACAAGAAGAAAUUACUCACUGCUGAUUCUUAUGUGGUGAGGAUCGGAGGCACGUACUCGGCUUUGUUGCCAAGAAUGCGAGCCUUGGUAUCAGGGAAGAACUCUGUCCCCGGCAGCUCUGUGACGUCU